rnacentral:rRNA from 1 species
UCAAAAACAUGUCUUUAAGAUAAUAAAAAUUUAAAGUCGAAUCUGCUCAAUGAUAAAUUAAAUAGCUGCAAUAUAUUAAUUGUACAAAGGUAGCAUAAUAAAUAGUUUAUUAAUUGUAAACUAGAAUGAAUGAUUUAAUAAAAUAUUAACUUUUUUUUAUUAAUAAUAUAUAAUUUAAUUUUUAAGUUAAAAAGCUUAAAUUAAAUAAUGGGACGAGAAGACCCUAUAGAUUUUUAUAUUUAUUUUAUUAAAAAAUUUAAUAUUAUAUUUUAAAUAGAAUAAAUAUUUUAAUGGGGAAUUAAUAAAAUAAAUAAAUUUUUAUUAAAAAUUUACUUAUAUUAAAGAUUAUUUUAAUGAAUAAAAAAUAAAUUUAUUAAAGAUAAAAAUACCUUAGGGAUAACAGCAUAAUUAUUUUUUAAAGAUCAAAUUUUUAGAAUAGUUUGUGACCUCGAUGUUGAAUUAAGAUAAAAUAAAAUUGGAGAAAAUUUAAAUUUUAGUCUGUUCGACUAUUAAAAUCUUACAUGAUUUGAGUCAAAUCGAC